CACACAACCACGCACCGACGCACUCACGCACACCACACACCACACACCACACCCAUCCACAGCCGGCGUGGGUGGCGACCGACGAGCAUGGCGGCCAUGCAGCCAUGCGGCAAGCAGGGCUUGCACGCGGGCUGCGACCCUGGCGGACGCUCGGGCGGUUAGCAUGGUGGCUGCGCGAGCAGCGCGGAAGCGCGGGCGGCAAGCAUGGUGGCCGGCAAGCACGGCGCGCGGCGGCUGCUCCCUCCACCGUCGACUACUCAGCGCGGGCGCACGGCGGCUCUCCCCUCAGGCAUCGGCUAUCCGACGCAGCCCGUCAAUGGCCCGGCGACGGCCACUGCGGAGGAGCUCCUCCCUUCGGCGUCAGCCUCCCGACGCUGCACUGGCGCGCGGCGGUGCCUUUCUCUUUCUCCGGGAACCAGCGAGCACGGCCGAGCGGCGAUGCGGAGACAAGGGCCGGGCGAGCGGCGCGGGGGAGCGCGACUGUCUGGUGGCGUGAGGAGUAGGGUCGAGGUAGCGGCACGGCGAGCAGGGCAGGCUGGCGGAAGUGGAGUCCUGUUGUUUUGUCUCCGGUGAGAAGGACUGCCGGCGGUGUAGUAGCUGUUGCGGCGGUGGAGAAGGACUUGAUGGCUUUUCAGUUUUCCUUUCUAGGGUCCUUUGUGUAAAUUUUUAGAACAACUCUGUAAUUUUUAUAUAACUCGAGAACGUAAGGCAGCAAACUUUCA
rnacentral:rRNA from 1 species